UGCCCAUAAGAGGGGGGAUAACAUCCGGAAACGGGUGCUAAUACCGCAUAGUUUUCUUGGUCGCAUGAUCGGGAAAGGAAAGACGGCCUUUGUGCUGUCGCUUAUGGAUGGACCCGCGGCGUAUUAGUUAGUUGGUGAGGUAACGGCUCACCAAGACGAUGAUACGUAGCCGACCUGAGAGGGUGAUCGGCCACAUUGGGACUGAGACACGGCCCAAACUCCUACGGGAGGCAGCAGUAGGGAAUCUUCCGCAAUGGACGAAAGUCUGACGGAGCAACGCCGCGUGAGUGAAGAAGGGUUUUUUCCGGAUCGUAAAAACUCUGUUGUCAGAGAAGAACAAGUUGGAGAGUAACUGCUCCAGCCUUGACGGUAUCUGACCAGAAAGCCACGGCUAACUACGUGCCAGCCGCUGC
rnacentral:rRNA from 1 species